ACCACUUUCUAUUUCUAAUUUUCUAUUCUCUCUCAUAGAUUGAUUGAAUUCUUUUGUUGAUCAAAGCUCUCUCUGAGUUUCUAUUUCUAUUCUCUCAAUAGAUUCAUUCAUUCAUUCAUUUCGCUCGCUAUUUUGAUAAUCAAAGCUGAUCUCACUUUAUCUUUCUAUUCUCUCAAUAGAUUGAUUGAUUGAUUUAUUUCGCUCGCUGUUUCUUUUGUUGAUUGAUUUCGCCCUAAUCAAAUCUCUCUCUCACUUUCCUUACCAACCCAACCGCUUCAUGGAUUCACCGCCGUGUACUCCGACGAUCACCACUCCUCCUCUUACUCCGAUUUCGCCAUCCACACCUCGUACUCCUCCGAUCACCACUCCUCGUACUCCGAUUUCGCCAUCCACGCCUCGUACUCCUCCGAUCACCACUCCUCGUACUCCGCCAUCGUAUCUGGCGGCGGUAGUAACUCCGUCACCUCCUCGUGCACCGAUGAAGCAAGGAAAGAUAUAUUCUACCCCGAUGCUACACUUGAUGGAUAAAAUCAUUCAAGGGGGAGAAUUGUUGUUGCUUGAGUAUCGAAGGAAUCAGAACACCGCUGAAGCCAGGGAAAACGAAAGAAAAAGAAAAAUACGUAUUUUGAUGUCACUUCGAUGAUCAUUCCUUUCUAUAUGAAAAUGGGUGAGUGAAAAGGUAAGAGCUUUAUUAUGAAAUUGUGAAAUUGAUCUGUUAGAGGUAGGUUAUGUUAUUUUCUGUUAGGAGAGUGUCUUUGCAGGUACAUCAACAUUCCUAUUCUUGUCAGUAAGAUAUUAAUUUCUUUUUGCCUCUUUUGAUUUAGUUUUUACUUUUUAUAGUAUGAAAAAAUGGUAAGGAAAAGGGUAAGAAUUUUUUAUUGCUAUUUUGUUAUUAUUAUGAAAUUGUGAUGUUCUGAGGUGGGUAAGGUUGGUUUGCUAUAUUCAUUACAUUAACCAUCAUUAGUAGUGCUAAAGCAAUGACAUCUGUAAAAUGCUCACACAAGAGUGGAAACUAUCCUCUGUCUUAUUGGGAGCUCAAUCUCGUCUGCGACCACAACAUUUGAAAUUGGCAGGUUACUAUGCUUAUUGAAGGUUCCUUUCAACUAUACUGAUCAAGUAUAACUCAUUUGGUACAAAAUUGUUUGGCAUAAUACUCAUCCAUCACUUUACAAUAUAAUGAGUGUGAUAAGUUUUAAGAUGGUCUCUUUGCCACUUUAUUCAUCACUUGGAUUAUUGUGUAAGUUAGUUAGCUUUCCGUUAAGUUUUCCUAAAUUGCAUUUUUCUUACCUGAUUGCUUCCAAAUAAUUGAUUGCUAAUUAUGCAUUUUUGCUGCUUUUUUUUUAACCUUUAACUUGUUACUUGAUGCAUUAUAUUCAACCAUCACUGUGUCAUUUGUUAGACACAUAAUUCAAUGUGCAAACGUGAUAAGUGAUAACAAUGUCAAAGCUUUGUGCUGCCAAAGACAGGUUUGUAUGGUUAUUGAGCAAGCUUAUGUAACCCUUUACUAUGUGUCCUGCUCUUUUCUUUGAUAAUUAUGCAUUACACAACUUCCUUAUCCUAUCACUAGGUUUUUGGAUGAACCAUUUUGAUUUUCAUCAUAAGAUUCAUUGCUCUUAUGGCGAAUCAACAUUGAAUUUAUAUAUAACCUUUCAUAAAUAAAUAUAAUUUCUGGUCCAACCAAACAUUCAAUGAAUAAGGUAUUGUCACAGUAGUAACUAAAAGGAAUGAUAAGUAUGAUUAUUAAUUAAUUUGUAGAAUCACUAUGUACUCGAAAAUUUCCAUCUUUCUCUGUGAAUUUGCAUAUCUUACUAGGUAUUGCUGAAUUCAAGAAGAAGAGUGGAGGUCUUCGAGUGAGACUUGCUAGACAAGCAAACACCGCUAUGCUCGGAAAACUGGCUUGGGUACAGAAGAUUCAUAUGUUGCUAAUCGGAAUUUCAUCAACGCUGAUCAAUAACAAACUCACAACAGAUUGCUAUGUUUGGAAAGGUAGCCUUGAAAGCUAGAUUUGACUUCAAGUAGAUUUUAAUUUUGCUUAGGGUUUUGAUUUUCUGAUUCAGUGUUUUACAUUAAUGUUUAGGAUCUGAUUUUCUGAUUCCGUGUUGAGUAUGUUUAGGAUAUGAUAUUUCUGAUUGUAAUUCUUUUCACAUUUAUGCGUUUUGAUUUGAUUGUUCGUGCCGCUCGAACGAGACCAAAUAUGUUGGUGCAGGUUGGACUUGAACAUAGACACAUGCCGCCUGUUGCAAAACUGAUAGAAAUAGUCAGCAGAAGAAGCCUUGGACAUGAUAGAAUGGUAUCAAUUCGGGAGCAUCGGUUUCCUUUCUUGGUUAAGUUUAGAUUUUAUACAACCAAUUGAGGUUACAUACAUUACCUGUUUUGAUUAUAGUAUUGAAUAAGCUGAUAGAAUGACAUUAAUCAUAGGUGAACAAUUGGAAUCGGUUCAAUGUUAAUUUUGCUUCAUUUUUUCAGUCACUUGAAUGUUUAUCAUUGCAAUUGCAAUAAUUUUACUUCCUUAUAGCUGUCUACAGCAUAUGGAUUCCACUUAUUUCGAGGAUAAUGGUUGUUUCUUUGGAGUGUUCCAUAACUAAUAUUUUGAGGAUAUUUUACUUCCUUAUAUGACUCAAUGAUCCUUUUCCAAAGUCACUUAGAUUGGUAAUAAUGGUUUCAUUAAGGUAAGUUACUUCCUUAGCAUAUUUGGAUUGUCAUAAAAUCUACUGAUGAUCUCUUUACUACUUUAUUGAUCAUUUGGAUUAUAAGGUAAGUUAGCUUUCCAUUAAGUUUUCUUAUCCGAUUCCGUGUAAGUAAUUGAUUGCUAACUAUUCAUUUUUGCUGGUCAUUUUGGUUUUAUCCUUAACACAUCUUGAUGCAUUCUAUUCAACCAUCACUAUAUAUCAUUUGUUAAUUGUUAGACACAUUAUUUGCAAUGUGUAAAGGUGACAACAAUGCCAAAGUUUUGUUCUGCCAAAGACAGGUUGGUAUGGUUAUUGAAGUGCUUUUUAUAAUAAGCUUAGAGCUUAUGUCACACUUUUUUAUGUCAGACAGGUUUCUAGUUGUUGGUAGUUAGGCAUCCUGCUUUUUUCUUUCAUAAUUAUGCAUUACUCCAAAUUUGAAGGUUUUUUCAACUAUGAAUUGUCUUAUUUAAUUAACUAUACUGAUGAUCAAGACUUAUUUAAUUUCCAUCUUUCUCUGUGAAUUUACAUAUUAUCAAAACCUACUGAUGGAACUAACAUACUUUACUACUUUCUUAUCUCUGCAUAUAUUUGAGAUAUUGCUUAGCUUUCAAAGUUGGAUGUUUAGGGCUCCAAAACCAAUCAAUCAUAUUGUAGCACAUUCAUGACUGGUUUCAAAACUGAACUGACAGUCAUUUUGGUUUCCUUCACCUGUUGUCAGGUUUGCUUGUACUCCUCCGAUCACCACUCCUCGUACUCCGCCGCUUUCAUCAUCGUCCCUUGCGGCUUUAGUAACUCCGUCACCGCCUCGUGCACCGAUGAAGCAACGAAAGAUAUAUUCUACCCCGAUGCUACACUUGAUGGAUAAAAUCAUUCAAGAGGGAGAAUUGUUGUUGAUUGAGUAUCGAAGGAAUCAGAACACCGCUGAAGCCAGGGAAAACGAAAGAAAAAGAAAAAUACAUAUUUUGAUGUCACUUCGAUGAUCAUUCCUUUCUAUAUGAAAAUGGGUAACUGAAUGAAAAGGGUAAGAUAUAUAUUUGUUCCUUUCAGUUGUUGAUUGAUCUGUUAGAGGUAGGUUAUGUUAUUUUCUUUAAAAAUAUUAUUUUGAAUCCAUAAUCUGUUAGGAGUGUCUUUGCAGUAACAUCAACUUUCCUAUUCUUGUCAGUAAGAUAUUAAUUUGUUUUUGCCUCUUUUUGAUUUACUUUUUAUAGUAUCAAAAAUGGUAAGGAAAAAAGGGUAAGAAUUUUUUAUUGCUAUUUUGUUAUUAUGAAAUUGUGAUGUUCUGAGGUAGGUUGGUUUGGUAUGCUAUAUUCAUUACAUUAACCAUCAUUACUGCUAAAGCAAUGACAUCUGUAAAAUGCUCACACAAGAGUGGAAACUAUCCUCUGUCUUAUUGGGAGCUCAAUCUCGUCUGCGACCACAACAUUUCAAAUUGGCAGAAGGUAAGUUACUUCCUUAGCAUUCUAUUCAACAAUGCCAAAGGCAGGUUACUAUGCUUAUUGAAGGUUCCUUUCAACUAUACUGAUCAAGUAUAACUCAUUUGGUACUAAAUUGUUUGGCAUAAUACUCAUCCAUCACUUUACAAUAUAAUGAGUGUGAUAAGUUUUAAGAUGGUCUCUCUGCCACUUUAUUGUGUAAGUUAGUUAGCUUUCCAUUAAGUUUUCCUAAAUUGCAUUUUUCUUACCUGAUUGCAUCCAAAUAAUUGAUUGCUAAUUAUGCAUUUUUGCUGUUUUUUUUUUAAUCUUUAACUUGUUACUUGAUGCAUUCUAUUCAACCAUCACUGUGUCAUUUGUUAGACACAGAAUUCAAUGUGCAAAGGUGAUAAGUGAUAACAAUGUCAAAGCUUUGUGCUGCCAAAGACAGGUUUGUAUGGUUAUUUUGGUUUUAAUCCUUAACACUUCUUGAUGCAUUCUAUUCAACCAUCACUAUAUAUCAUUUGUUAGACACAGAAUUUGCAAUGUGUAAAGGUGAUAACAAUGCCAAAGUUUUGUUCUGCCAAAGACAGGUUGGUAUGGUUAUUGAAGUGCUUUUUAUAAUAAGCUUAGAGCUUAUGUCACACUUUUUUAUGUCAGACAGGUUUCUAGUUGUUGGUAGUUAGGCAUACUGCUUUUUUCUUUCAUAAUCAUGCAUUACUCCAAAUUUGAAGGUUUUUUCAACUAUGAAUUGUCUUAUUUAAUUAACUAUACUGAUGAUCAAGACUUAUUUAAUUUCCAUCUUUCACUGUGAAUUUACAUAUUAUCAAAACCUACUGAUGGAACUAACAUACUUUACUACUUUCUUAUCUCUGCAUAUAUUUGAGAUAUUGCUUAGCUUUCAAAGUUGGAUGUUUAGGGCUCCAAAACCAAUCAAUCAUAUUGUAGCACAUUCAUGACUGGUUUCAAAACUGAACUGACAGUCAUUUUGGUUUCCUUCACCUGUUGUCAGGUUUGCUUGUGUACAAAUCUUUUUUCUCUAGUGAAGACAAGACUGCAACUUCAGACGCCCCUUCACCUGUUCUCAAUGGGAUACAUCGCUUACAUAUGUUCUUGCUUCAAUAUCACAUCCCUAUCCCUUGUUUGUCAAACCAGUGUUCUCAAUGGUUGCAGAAGGAUUUCAUAUCAGGUAUGAGAGAGAAGAAUAGUGGAAAGAAGGAGCUUUGCUGGCAAAGUUACAUAUUUGUGGUAGCAACAAAUGGAGGAAGAAUAGUGGAAAGAAGAACUAUCGAGAUCCAGAAGGCGACAAUACCGAUUCUAGCAUGAAAUCAGAUUAUCCACCAUGUCAUCAUUGUGGAAGAAAUACAACCGCUUGGGUCAUCAGAUUGUAAUGCUCCUCUAAGAUCUUGGAUAAGGCCAGAUGUGAAGUGUAACAAAUACAACCGCUUGGGUCAUAUUUCAAAGAUCUACAAAUUCCAACUGGAAAAGAAGCAAGAAGAAACUCAGAUUGUAGAUCAAGAUUAUCAACACAGGUGAAAGUUGGUUUAUUGAUAAUGGAUGCACUAAUCACAUGACAUAUGAUAUUGAGUUUUUCAAAGAUUUCAACAAGGAUUCUGUUUCAAAAGUUAAGAUUGGUAAUGGUUAAUUUGUUGAUGUCAAAUGAAGAGUAUCAAUUGUAGCACAGUUGCUUGAAAAGGGGUUCAUACUUAUCUUUGAGAAUUGUUUAGAAUACCAAUGCAGGUUAAAAGUUUUUCUUUGGGCUUUUUGCAAUGUAAGGAAGCUGCUGUUGUAAAAUCAAUUUCUGAUACUGAAUUUUGUACUAUACUUGGAUAAAAACAAUCUAGCAGAAGGUAUACUAGCAUUGGAGAAAAACAUGACUAGUUUUGCUCCUCACCAGAUUGUUAUGUUCACGAUCAGAGCAAUAAGUAGAUUGCAGUUGAUACAUACAGAUCUUAGAGGAUCUUUGUCAGAAGCCUCAUUGGAUGGACCAUAUAUUACAUACAGAUCUUAGAGGAUCUUUGUCAGAAGGAUCUUUGUAAAUUUAAAAGAUGGGUUGAAAAUCAGAGUGAAUGAAAAAUUCAAUAAGCUUUAUGAGGAGGCUGGAAACAUUAUGGUGCGUGUGCGGGUGAAAGGGAGUAUAGGAGUGUGAUGGAAAUGGCUAGAUGCUUGCUAUAUGAGAAAAAUAUCUCUUCAGAAGUUUUGGGCAGAAGCUGCAACAAGUCUGAAGGAAAAACUCCAUUUGAAGGAUGGUGUUUGGCUGUGUUUGCUUCAGUCGUGUGACACUAGUAACGUCUGAUAAGUUUUAUAAAAGGUUUGAGGCUGAAAUAUUCUUAGGCUACCACAAUGUCUCUAUAGCCUAUAGAACCCUUUCAGCCAAAGUCAGAAAAAAUCUUCAUAAGUAGAAAUGUUUGUUUUGAGGAGGAGCAAGAAUGGAACUGGGAAGAAGAAAAACCAUGCAAGUAAAAUGGCAAAAAAUUGAAGAAUCUCCAGAACUACUAUUUCAGGAAGAUCACGUCUCUCCACUAGAUCAUGAGAACAUUGAUGAUGCACCUGUUAGAAGUACAAGAUUACUUGCUGAUAUUUAUGAUAGGUGCAGUUUUGCUGAUACUCUUGGUGCUUAAAAAAGCAAGAAAUUGUUGCUCAAUCCGCCGCAGAGGUUGAAUUCAUAGCCAAGUUUGGAAGUUGUUAAAAGAUGUUCAAGAGGAGCAGAGGCAAAGUACUAAGAAUCUAGUGUUGCAUGGAAAGACCCUGAAUUCAAUGUGAAAUCUCAUUACAAUCUUGGAAUUUGGAAGACAGAAGACCAAUUAGUAGAUAUUUUUACAAAACCACUUUCUAAAAGAAAGUUCGAAGUAUUGCAUAAAGAUCAGAGUCUACAGCUACUAAAGCAAGGAGUAGUAUUGAGAAUUUGAGAUAAUGCUUCAGUAUAUAUCCUCAUUGAUAAGAUCUAGAAACAGUUUGUUGGUCUUAUCUUUUAAUUAAAUUAGGAUGCUUUCUGUUCUGUUUUAGUAGAUUAAGUAUUUUGUUAGUGGGAAGUUUAAAUGUUAUUCUUUUUUUUUUUAUUUUUAUCAGAGAUGGUAUUACUUCUAUUUUAGUAGAUUAAGAAUUUAAGAUAAGAAAUUCUAUUUUAGAAUAUUUAUCUCUAAUCAAUUUUUGUAUUUAAAGAAGCUUCAGACCAACAAAUGGUACAACUUCUCAAUCUAACUUAGGUAUAUCAGUGUAUGUGCACACACACAUAUCUUUUAAAAAGUUUUGAACUUUUACUAGAGUUCUAGUGUUAUGCUAUAGAGUAUAACUAAAAUCUCCCUUUCACAGUGAUAUUUAAACUAAUAUGUCCUUUGAAAAUUUUAUUAAAUUUAGAUUAGUUUCUUUGAAAAAACUAUUUGAAAGAAACUUCAAACAUAUUUAGGUUCAAUGAUUUUCUUCUUUCAAUUAUGUGUGAAGAAAAACAGAUUGUGAUUAUCUGUUAGUUGUUAGAACUACACAGUUAGAUUAGAUGGGAAACAUGGACUACUAGCCAGAAUCCAUUGGCUUAAUGUCCUGUUUGGAUCAUUGCUGAAAGGACUUAUCAGUGCUUCUCUUUUAGAUCAAGCACGGAUGCUUGUUAAAAAUGUAGUUGGUUGAAUUUUCUUUAUCUGCUGUGACUUUAGAAAAAGAUCUGAGAAGAACUUAUUAUGAAGCUUAAACAGAAAAUGUCUCUCCUUUCAAACUAAAAAAUGAAUUUACUAAAUUUGAAAGAAUGUCCCAUUCCAAUCCUAUCUGAAUCGUGUUCCCUUGCAGACAGACUGAAGUUCGACUGUUACCAUUUCUUUUGCAGUUCUGCUCACUCUCCGGUAUGACUGAAUUCACUAAUUUGUUUUUAUUAGUUUCAUUUUUUGGUGACUUAAUUGAUUGUGUAUAUACUCAGGAUUGUGCUUCUCUGGAUAUUGUCUUGAUGACAAUAUUGAUUAUUUACUCCGACACUAAUUGGUAUUUCAAACACUUGAUGCAUGAUGUUAGAAUAGGAAACAAUCGCUUUCUUUGGAGCGGAUACUAGUACUUGGUCUUUAACAAUCACCUGAUGCACGAUGUUAGAAUAGAAAUUGAAUGUUCUGAAAAGUUCCAUUUUGCAUGAUUUCUCUUUUGAUUUUGGAUCCAUUGAGGUAAUGUUAGUAAUGUUCUGAUACUUAUUUCCUAUUUCAUUAGUUAGUCUGUUAUUGAGGAAAAACCGAUUAUUGAAACUCAGGACUAAUCGAUCCAAAAAGUGGUCAAGCUACUGAAAGGAAGAUGAUGAGAUUAAACCUAUUAAUUCAAUUUCAAGUUCAAACCACUUGAGGUGCUGUCGAACGAAGAUCCUGUUAAAAAACAAAAGAGAAAAAAAAAAGUUCAAACCACUUGAUUGUAUUAUGGUGAUUUGAGUUAGAACAAUAUUGUUAUGCACUGAUUUUGCUUUCCAGAACAAAUGUUCUAGUCUAGAACAAUAUUGUUAUGCAUUCUCUUUUUAUUUCUGUUUUGUAAUAAUCUCAUAAUACUAAAUAUCAUCGAUGAAUGAAGGCUUGUUUAUGUCCUUCAUCUCAAUUGUUAGACAAUUCAAGCUAUCACAGACACUUCAUCAGUUGUGAUUAUGCACACAGCACACCCUUAACUGUUUGUAUAUGAUGUGCAGAUAAGUUGUAUAAUGUUGUACAAGUAGCUGCAUGAGUAUGGACCAAAUAUUGCGUCAAAAAAAAAAAGUAUGGACCAAAUAUGAGGUAUGUCAAACUGUGAUUUUCAAAGUAGUACUUGCACAUAUAUCUGAUGGACUCUGAUUUAAAAAACAAAGAACCAGAAGCAGGAUUCACAGUCCCAACAUUCACUGUACUUAGCAAAUGCAGUUUUCUUAGGUCUUUUCUUCUCCAUCGUGUACUUUCUUUUACACCGGCAGCGUGAGAAGAUCAAAACCUCCACAAAUUUCCACGUCGUCACAAUCUCCAAGAUUAUCGCUCUAGUUUCCCACAUAGCUUCUGUUAUCUACCUUAUGACUUUUUUCGGCAUUGCCUUUAUUCUUCAUUAUGAUGAAGAAGAUGAUGCUGACAUAACAGAAACUACCAGAGUCGUGUCGAAGCUACCUCUGUUACAACCUAAAAUCUCUAUCCAUAAAGUUGCACCGGUGCCUGGACUGCUUUCCAUGGAAGAUGAGGAGGUUGUCCGUGAGGUGGUAUCGGGAUCAAUUCCGUCUUAUUCUCUUAAAUCAAAGCUUGGAUAUUGCUUGCGUGCAGCGCUGAUUCGGAACCAAGCGGUGGAGAUUGUUGGCUACAGGUCAAGAUCCAGCUCAGAAUGUUGAGAGUUCUCAUUAUAUGACGGUGAUGGAAGCUGUGAAUGAUGGGAAGGUCCUUCAUAUAUUUGUGACUAUGCCUUCCAUUGAGGUGGGCACAGUUGGAGGGGCACACAACUUGCAUCACAAUCAGCUUGUUUGAAUUUACUUGGUGUUGAGGGUGCUAAUAAAGAGACUCCAAGAGCAAAUUCAAGGCAACUAGCGACUAUAGUAGCUGCUUCAGUCCUUUGCCAGAGAGCUCUCACUCAUGUCUGCAAUUGCUGCUGGACAACUUCGUUAAGAGCCACAUGAAAUACAACAGAUCUACUAAAUAUGUCACCAAAGUUUCUUCAUGAGUUGGUAGGGACAUAUAUAGCCUGCAAAGAAUACUUCAUUAAGAUAUGGUUUAUGUACAGAAGGAAUUAAAUAAGAUUUGUUCUAUUCCUCUUAUUUGUUUUUCGAAACAAAAUAUCAUUAGUGUUGUAGUAUUUCUCAAUUCUCAUAUAAAGCUCAAAUAUGUGGUACUACUUUAGUCUUUUGAUCUUUGAUUUUGCACACUGUAUUGGAUUUUUGUUGAGGAGUGACUCUCAAUGUCCGCUUUACUGUGACACAACACCAAUGUACUAAGUUGCUUUGGUUUUCUUCUUCUUUGGUGAUAUGGGUGCUUAACUAAGUACACAUUAACUCA